GAGAAAAGAGGGGACAAGAAGGGAAAAGGAAGAGAUUGAGAGUAAAUAACUUUAAAAGUUCUCCUAACGAUCCUCAAUAGGAUUUUCGGGUCUUUCGUCUGACGUUCCUUUUAGUUCUAUAUUUUACGAGUUCUUAGUUUCUGAUAGCAGUUGGACUUUAUUGAGUGUUCCUGCUUCUUCAGCUUUGGGUCAGUAUGCCUUACUUAUUGUUCAAGGCUGUUUUAAUUCGAUAUCUUAGACGCUCCACUAUUACUCUGUUUUAAUUAAGUU